UUAAAAAGCUCGUAGUUGAACCUUGGGCCUGGCUGGCCGGUCCGCCUCACCGCGUGCACUGGUUCGGCCGGGCCUUUCCCUCUGGGGAGCCGCAUGCUCUUCACUGAGUGUGUCGGGGAACCAGGACUUUUACUGUGAAAAAAUUAGAGUGUUCAAAGCAGGCCUAUGCUCGAAUACAUUAGCAUGGAAUAAUAAAAUAGGACGUGUGGUUCUAUUUUGUUGGUUUCUAGGACCGCCGUAAUGAUUAAUAGGGACAGUCGGGGG
rnacentral:rRNA from 1 species